rnacentral:rRNA from 1 species
AGUGGGGAAUAUUGCGCAAUGGGCGGAAGCCUGACGCAGCGACGCCGCGUGGGGGAUGACGGCCUUCGGGUUGUAAACCUCUUUCAGCCCCGACGAAGCGAAAGUGACGGUAGGGGUAGAAGAAGCACCGGCCAACUACGUGCCAGCAGCCGCGGUAAUACGUAGGGUGCAAGCGUUGUCCGGAUUUAUUGGGCGUAAAGAGCUCGUAGGCGGUUUGUCGCGUCUUCCGUGAAAACUGGGGGCUUAACUUCCAGCUUGCGGUGGAUACGGGCUGACUGGAGUGCGGCAGGGGAGACUGGAAUUCCUGGUGUAGCGGUGAAAUGCGCAGAUAUCAGGAGGAACACCGGUGGCGAAGGCGGGUCUCUGGGCCGUUACUGACGCUGAGGAGCGAAAGCGUGGGGAGCGAA